UAUUCAACUAUAAAAACACCA
rnacentral:tRNA from 2 species